AUCCUAACUCCUAUAAUAUUUAUUCAACUUCCUGGUGAUUCUCCACUACUUUAUGUAACCAAAUCAAGCUUUGUACAUCGUGAUUCAUCCUGGUUUGAUUAGAAUGACGAAGAAGUUGUCAUAUUCCCAAACAGGAAAAAUGGGUUCACCUGAUAAGGCUUUGUACAUCGCGAUUUUUCCUGGUUUGAUUAGAAUGACGAAGAAGUUGUCAUAUUCCCAAACAG
rnacentral:lncRNA from 1 species